rnacentral:rRNA from 1 species
UACUCAGUUCAGAUUGCAGGCUGCAACCCGCCUGCAUGAAGUCGGAAUUGCUAGUAAUCGUAGGUCAGCAUACUACGGUGAAUACGUUCCCGGGCCUCGUACACACCGCCCGUCAAACCAUGAGAGUUGGCAACACCCGAAGUCGGUAGUCUAACCGCAAGGAGGACGCCGCCGAAGGUGGGGUUGAUGAUUAGGGUUAAGUCGUAACAAGGUAGC